CUGAUGACCACUCACCUUUUUCGUCUCUGUGGGCGUUAUUCUGGGGGCCUUGAGUGUCCCCGGGUACUUCAACGGUUGGCAGAUCCUCUGACUUCAGAGAAUUCUCUUCUCCUGCGUCUGUCUUCAAUCCAGGCAAUUCCAUCUACUCCCAUGGCUUCUGUAAACUGAUGACAGCCAAGUAUCCCCAGGUUGGACUCUGCUCAUCUCAGAUAUGUAACCACCUGCCUAAUGGAUGUCCCCACUUGGAUCUCCCACAAAUGGGGCCAAUCAGAAUGAAGCUCUAUGUUUCAAAUAUUUGAUGACAGAGGAAGCUCACUUUCACUUUGUCCAAACAUGGAUAAGGAAGCACACAACCUCUGGAACUGUGGGCAGCCACCUUGUAACCUCAACGGAAG